ensembl:lncRNA LINC02475 long intergenic non-protein coding RNA 2475
CACACAGAAAAAGGAGGGGUUGCAACUGCCACAUAGCAACUGACACGCCGAAAAAGGAGGCGUUGCAACUGCCACACAGAAAAAGGAGGGGUUGCAACUGCCACGCAGCAACUGCCACGCAGAAAAAGGAGGGGUUGCAACUGCCACGCAGCAACUGCCACGCAGAAAAACGAGGGGUUGCAACUGCCACGCAGCAACUGCCACACAGAAGAAGGAGGGACUGCAACUGCCAUGCAGCAACUGCCACACAGAAAAAGGAGGGGUUGCAACUGCCACGCAGAAAAAGGAGGGGUUGCAACUGCCACGCAGCAACUGCCACGCAGAAAAAGGAGGGGUUGAAAAGGGAGUAGCUUCUGAUAUUCAGAAGCUAUUGGAAGAGAUGCUCAAAGAAGAAAAAAUUACCAUAAUCCAAUAAAGAAGAAGACCUGAGAUCCAGGAAGCAGAUGAUCUGAACUGCAGAGAAAGUUCAGGAAAGUUCCCUCAUUCAUGAUGAUGGGAAAUAACAGUAAAUUCUGUACAGCAGUCUUGGACAACAACCAAUCUAAACUGGCACAGUGCAGAGGCAAUCAACAGAGAACAUAAUAUUGAUAGAAUGCCUGACGCUUUUGAUUGUAUUCACAGGAAACAUAAACAAUUGGAAGACAGUUUAUGAAUGAAUUAGUGAUAAGCAUUUUUUUUCAACUUUUAUUUUAGAUUCAAGGGUACAUGUGCAGGUUUGGUGCCUGGGUAUACUGGGUGAUGCUGAGGUUUGUGUUACAAAUGAUCCCAUCAUCCAGGUACUGAGCAUGGUAUCCAGUAGUUAGUUUUUAACCCUUCUCCUGUCUCUCUCCUGGUGGUCCCCAGUUUCUACUGUUGCCAUCUUUAUGUCCAUGAGUAUACAAUGUUUAGCUCCCACUUGUGAGAACAUGCGUAUUUGCCUAUUUAAUUAUUUGUUUAUUUGUUGAGACAUAGUUUCACUCUCUAGCCCGAUCUUGGCUCACUGCAACCUACGCUUCCUGUGUUCAAGCGAUUCUCUUGCCUCGGCCUCCCCAGUAGCUGAGAUUACAGGCACCUACUACCAUGCCUGACUAAUUUUUGUAUUUUAAUAGAGAUAGGGUUGCACCCUGUUGGCCAGGCUGGUUUCAAAUUCCUGAUCUCAAGCGAUCCACUCACCUUGGCCUCCCAAACGGCUGGGAUUACAGGCUUGAGCCACCACGCCCAGCCACUAUUUGCUUUUCUAUUCCUGCAUUAAUUUGCUUAGGAUAAUAGCCCUCAACUUCAUCCAUUUUGCUGCAAAGAAAAUAAUUUUGUUCUUUUUUAGGGCUGCAUAGUAUUCCAUGGUGUAUAUGUACCACAUUUGUUUUAUUUAAUCCACUGUUGAUGGACACCUGGGUUUAUUCUAUGCCUUUGCUACUACAAAUAGGGCUGUGAUGAACAUGCAAAGGCAUGUGUCUCCUUGAGAUAAAUAUUUUAAAAAUACAAUAAAAUCAAAAAAAUUAAUGUCAGGGCUAACAUACAGUUAUUAGAAAAAAAAAUAUUUUGUUAUUAUAGAUAGACACUAGCUUUAACAUAAUAAUAGUUAUGUAAGUAGUCGAAGUUCAUAUGAUCAAAAUUAUUAUUUAGCUGUUUUAAAAGAAUGCAGAUAUAAGAGAUAUACCAUUAAUGGUGAAUAGUUCCAGUAAAAGCAAGCUAAGCUCUCUUUCACAUUCCAUAGAGGGAAUUUAAUAAGCCCUGAAACCGAAAGUUCAAGAAGGAAAAGUGCAAGUCCUACAUGAAUUGAUCAAUGAUUGCCUCUGGAAAUUAUUGGUGUGAAUGGGGAGGCAAAAUUGCUAGUUUGGUUAAUAAGCUAUGUAACUGUUUGAUAAUUCUUCACUUGCAUGUAAACUUCGGUACAAAUAAAAGCUAAUGAAAACAGAGACAGAAUUAUUAAAUCAUCAUAACAUAAAGUUAACAUUUUUCAUCAUUUUUCACUUGUUCAAAGAUCAUAAGAAAUUUUCAUCUUAAUUUUCAAGCAUCAACUAAUGUUUCUACUCUCCCUGAGUACCAUAAAAAGCCUUCUGUGGACAGUCUAAGUGACAAUGACACAUUAGAUUUGGCAAAAAUUACUUUCAGAUGUAAAUCAAUUUGAGAAUGAACUGAUGCUCUGAAACCGGAAUUUACUUGUUGCUCAAAUUUGCCCCAAAAUAAAAUAAUUUUCAAUCAUAGGAGAA